AGUGUCAGAGCUUCACCUCAUCCAGGUUCAGCUGCAGCCACUUCAUUCUGCAGCUGAGUCCCUGACAAUGAGCCUGGCCGUUUUGCUGCUGGUGCUGGCUCCAGGUGCAUUGGCCCAAUACACGGUGACCCAGGAGCAGUCUCAGGCCGCUGCCAAUGAAGGAGAACCCAUUCAGCUCAACUGCUCCUACACAGGAAUCGAGUACAGCGUGCAUUGGUACCGCCAGCCCCAGGGGGGCCAGCCGCGGUUUCUGGCGCUCCUGUCCUCUAGCUGCAGAGACAUCCGAGAGAAUUUCACCAUGAGCCUGGACACCAAAACCAAAAGCAGCUUUUUGUACCUGAACAGCAGCCACCUGGAAGACUCUGCUGUGUAUCUGUGCAUGCUGGAGCACAGUGCCAGGUGAGCACAGGCAGCCCGUCACAAAACCCUGGGUGGGGGCAGGGCACACAGACCCGAGAGAGGAGACAAGCAGAAGUUAGAACAGACCAGAAGAUAUGAGCACAGAAGUGAAGAAAGGAAAGUAGAACAGAGUCGGCGAGAGGCAAUAAGAAUAGAACGGAUCAGAAGAGAACACACUGGAAUGACCGGAACAGGAGCGAUGUGAACAGAAUAAA